UACAGAGGUCCCAAGCGUUGUUCGGAUUCACUGGGCGUAAAGGGUGCGUAGGCGGUCGGGUAAGUCUGACGUGAAAUCUUCAAGCUCGACUUGGAAACUGCGUCGGAUACUAUUCGGCUAGAGGAAUGGAGGGGAGACUGGAAUACUUGGUGUAGCAGUGAAAUGCGUAGAUAUCAAGUGGAACACCAGUGGCGAAGGCGAGUCUCUGGACAUUUCCUGACGCUGAGGCACGAAAGCCAGGGGAGCAAACGGG
rnacentral:rRNA from 1 species